rnacentral:rRNA from 1 species
CCAAGGAGUGCAACAUGCGUGCGAGUCUUUGGGUGAAUAAAACCCUGCGGCGCAAUGAAAGUGAAGGCAGGCUGUGGUCUGCCGAGGCGAGAGUCUCGGUUGCUUUGGGGACACAUCGUCGACCGAUCCCAGGUCACGCAGUGGCGGGAUUUGAGUGAGAGCGUGCCUGUUGCGACCCGAAAGAUGGUGAACUAUGCCCGAAUAGGGCGAAGCCAGAGGAAACUCUGGUGGAAGCUCGUAGCGAUUCUGACGUGCAAAUCGAUCGUCAAAUUUGGGUAUAGGGGCGAAAGACUAAUCGAACCAUCUAG